AAGGGCAUAGCUCAGUGGUAGAGUAUGUGCUUAGCAUGCACCAGGUCCCGGGUUCAAUCCCUAGUACCUCCA
rnacentral:tRNA from 1 species